rnacentral:rRNA from 1 species
AUUGAACGCUGCGGCAGGCUUAACACAUGCAAGUCGAGCGAGCGGCGGACGGGUGAGUAAUGCUUAGGAAUCUGCCUAUCAGUGGGGGACAACAUCUCGAAAGGGAUGCUAAUACCGCAUACAUAUAGAUGAGCCUAAUUCGGGUUAGCUAGUUGGUGGGGUAAAGGCCUACCAAGGGGAGGAUCUGUAGCGGGUCUGAGAGGAUGAUCCGCCACACUGUGAGUGGGACACGGCCCGGACUCCUACGGGAGGCAGCAGUGGGGAAUAUUGGGCAAUGGGGGUAACCCAUAUCCAGCAAUGCCGGGUGUGUUAAGAAGGCCUUAUGGUUGUAAAGCACUUUGAGCUAGGAGGCGUUACUCGCAGAAUAAGCACCGGCUAACUCUGUGCCAGCAGCCGCGGUAAUAC